rnacentral:lncRNA from 1 species
GAAGGAUCUGAUUUGGGGGUUGGGCGGUGGAUUUGAGCCAAAGUUUCUUUUAACUUUUGUCUUUUACACAUCGGAUCUUUUCGCUGUCAAAUAUAUCCCAAAUUGAUCAGUUUUCACACAUACGGGCUGAAAUUUGACACCUCUAAGUUCUCUUAGGAGAGCUGAAGCUAGGGGAGCUAUUAGACACACCUCCUCCUGGUUUAGAUGAAGCUAUUGCAAUCUCUAAGGUUAUACAAUUUCUUGAAUCGCAAGAGUAUAGCAUGUUUACGCGUAUAGUUUUUGAUACUGCACCCACAGGUCAUACACUGCGGCUUUUGUCAUUGCCUGAUUUCAUGGAUAAAUCGAUUGGGAAGAUACUGAAUAUUGGGGAUUAAAGAUCAAAUUUAUAUACUCUGUAUCUGUAUUUCGGGGGAAAUGAGAAGUUAUUAGG